rnacentral:rRNA from 1 species
UACGGGGGGGGCAAGCGUUGUUCGGAAUUACUGGGCGUAAAGGGCUCGUAGGUGGCCAACUAAGUCAGACGUGAAAUCCCUCGGCUUAACCGGGGAACUGCAUCUGAUACUGGAUGGCUUGAGUUUGGGAGAGGGAUGCGGAAUUCCAGGUGUAGCGGUGAAAUGCGUAGAUAUCUGGAGGAACACCGGUGGCGAAGGCGGCAUCCUGGACCAACACUGACACUGAGGAGCGAAAGCGUGGGGAGCAAACAGG